rnacentral:rRNA from 1 species
GUAGUCCACGCCGUAAACGGUGGGCACUAGGUGUGGGCGAUUUUCAACGUCGUCCGUGCCGCAGCUAACGCAUUAAGUGCCCCGCCUGGGGAGUACGGCCGCAAGGCUAAAACUCAAAGGAAUUGACGGGGGCCCGCACAAGCAGCGGAGCAUGUGGCUUAAUUCGAAGCAACGCGAAGAACCUUACCUAGGCUUGACAUGUACGGAAAAGCUGCAGAGAUGUAGUGUCCUUCGGGGCCGUACACAGGUGGUGCAUGGUUGUCGUCAGCUCGUGUCGUGAGAUGUUGGGUUAAGUCCCGCAACGAGCGCAACCCUCGUCCUAUGUUGCCAGCGCGUAAUGGCGGGAACUCGUAGGAGACUGCCGGGGACAACUCGGA